GUCCUUGUGGCUGAGUGGUUAGUGCAUCAGACUGCUGCUCAUGAGGUCAUGGGUUCAACUCCUGUCUGUUUCA